AAAACUUUAAUUAUAUAAUAAUAUACCUCCCCUCUCCCGAACAAAUACAUUUCAUCACCGUCUGAUAAGAAUUAACUAUAUCCAAAAUUGUAAUUAAAAAAAUGAGUGAUAUUUCAUCAAAAACACUCCGUAUAAAAACAUCGCUAAGUAAAAAAAAUCACUUAAAUUACAAAAGUUGUGAUAUUAAAAUUUGGCUAAGUAAUUUCAUAAAUUCAUUAAUAUUGAAGUAUUUAUAACGUGUUUGUAUUUAAUGUACCUUGUGUAUUUAUUUGGUGCAAAUAAUAUUUUACUUAACUUGGCACAGUUACUAUUAUUUAUGUCUCUACAGCUAAGAAACCAAAUGCACUAUGUCUCGAUUUCUACAUAACUAUACGCAUCAUUUUUAUUAUUGUUAAACUACAGAACAAUACAUCUAUUUAAAUACAUCUUUCUAAUAACCGCCAAGCUAAGUAAAAUAUUAUUUGCACCUAAUAAAUACACAAGGUACAUUAAAUACAAACAGUUAUAAAUAGGUACUUCUAUAUUAAUGAAUUUAUGAAAUUACUUAGCCAAUUUUUAAUAUCACAACUUUUGUAAUUUAAGUGAUUAUUUUUACUUAACGAUGUUUUUACACGGAGUGUUUUUGAUGAGAUAUAUACCUACAGGAAUGAAUGAAAAAAUAUAAGUAUAUUUGAUCACUGAUUACAACGGAUAAAUUUUUCUCAGGCGCUCAGGGGAUACUGAUUUUCGACGCAGCCAAGUAGUUGGAGUGCCAAACUAUUUCAAAAUCACUAUGGAAUUAUUCAAAUACUUGUACAUUGUUAUCACCUAACAACUAACAUAAGUCACUGAGCAGUCAGCAUAAUUGAAAACAAAAAAUGAAAUAUAAAAUUUGUUAAAGCUUUAAAAAAUUUACUAAAAAGCUAGUGUUCUUAAUGGGAAUUUAUUUUAAAUAUUAGUUUCUUCUUUUUUUUUUUUACUAUUGUGCCAUCAAUUUCUUUUAUAGUCAGUUUAUAGUUACUUAAUAAUAAUUUGUAUACAAAGAAUAUUUAAUAUUUUAAUAAUUAGUUUAAAAUAUUUAUUGAAUAACUAUAUUAGGUAAUCAUGUAUUUAUGUUUGAACUUAAUUAACACAUGUUCAACAUAGGUAUAUAGCAACAAACGACUAUUAAAAUUUAAAAGAUAACAUCAGUCAAUGAUAUACAAAAAUUAUAAAAAUUAAAUAUUUAAUAAAUUACAGUCUUAUAGAA